rnacentral:rRNA from 1 species
CCUACGGGAGGCAGCAGUAGGGAAUAUUGGACAAUGGACGCAAGUCUGAUCCAGCCAUCCCGCGUGAAGGAUUAAGGCCCUAUGGGUUGUAAACUUCUUUUCUUUGGGAAUAAAAAGCGGUAUUCAUAUCGCCUUGAAGGUACCAGAGGAAUAAGCACCGGCUAACUCCGUGCCAGCAGCCGCGGUAAUACGGAGGGUGCAAGCGUUAUCCGGAUUCACUGGGUUUAAAGGGUGCGUAGGUGGCUUUGUAAGUCAGCGGUGAAAGCCUGGAGCUCAACUCCAGAAUUGCCAUUGAUACUGCAGAGCUUGAAUCAAGUUGAGGUGGAUGGAAUAUUACAUGUAGCGGUGAAAUGCUUAGAUAUGUAAUAGAACACCGAUUGCGAAGGCAGUUCACUAAGCUUGUAUUGACACUGAGGCACGAAAGCGUGGGGAUCAAACAGGAUUAGAUACCCUGGUAGUCCACGCCCUAAACGAUGCAAACUCGACAUUAGCGAUAUACAGUUAGUGUCCAAGCGAAAGCGUUAAAGUUUGCCACCUGGGAAGUACGACCGCAAGUUGAAACUUCAAAUUGAGUUGNGGCGNGAGAGNGCGAGACGACGACGAGGAGGAGG